rnacentral:rRNA from 1 species
AUGAGCAGAGGGGUUCAGCAACUCUUACUACUCCUGGCUGUGAAAGCUUCUGCUUACCUGCUUAUCCAUGGUCUUUUUGAGCCAUCCAAAUUGCAAAACGCAAGUCACCAACACCAAGAAUCAGGUUCCUGCCAGAGGAACCCAAAGCAGAGCAAGAGAAGGAAAACAACGGUGAAGAGGUUCUGUUGGAGAAAGGGCUGCAUCACAUACUUGCCACCAAGGCCAUGUUGUCGAGGAGCCUGUGAUUGCCGCUCCAGCUGCCUCUCGCGCCAUGGCCCAUCGCGUGGGGUGCAUUGUGAGAGUCUGCAUCAGGCCCGCGUUGCCUCUCCAGCAGGUACUCAACGCAAUCCUAGUGAUGCAGCACUCUAG